AUGAUUUCAUUGGAUUUUGUCUGCCCUGAGCCAAAACUCAAGACUCAUUGCAAAUGGACCGUUAGCUGUCCUCAGUACACAGCAGCUUCAAGUAAAUCUAUCAGUAGUAGCUGUUACAUACCUCUUCUUCUUCCACAAGAUAAGGGGUGUGGAUACAGUGAAAGCCUGUGGCUUUUGGAAAAUGUGUUACAUAUCUAAGGCCCAUAAAAUGGAAGGCAAGUCAAACUGUUUUGGCAUGCAGAAAGGUCUACCAUGCAAUUGUAUUCAGGGAGGAGGUGGCUUCAGAUUAUUGUAAAUUGUUCUUGCAUAAGGAAGGGGCUGUGGUAAGUGAAAACUUGAGCAACAGUGAAAAAAAUGUCACAUUAUAGUUUGGUAUCAAAAAUACGUCUACAAAAUAAUGACUCAUUUUAGUACUCACUUGUACUCUCCCUUUCCAUGAAUAUGUUCCUUAGUAUUUGGUAUGUCCCAAUAAAUUAUUUUCUGGAACAAAUGAAUUUGUUCAUGCCUUCCCUAUUUCAACUGAUGUCAAGAUUUAAUUUUCACCCUGAGGUUUAAACUCAUUGGUAAUAUGCUAGGGAGCCUUAACAUGCAAAUAUGCCGUAGAAGCAAGAAGAGGUUCAUUGGUGUGUAUGAAAGCAAAUUCAAUAAAUUAUGUAUAAAAUAAAGUCAGUGUUAUUUUUGGACAAAGAUAUGAUGCUCUCAGCAUUUUGCUAUACUGACUGACAAUGUGGUGCAGCUGUUCCUUUAUCAAGCUGUGUCAAUAUGUUGUUGCUUGCAUAAGUAAUUUAGAGCCUGUUUAAAAAAAAAUCAAAACUGACAUUUGCAAAAACAUCUAAGAAUGUUGCUAAUGAGUGUAGCAUUCAGAAUAUUUAUGUAUGUUAAAGGACUGGUUUUUAAAAUUAAGAGAGGGUGAAUCCUUUUCCCAUAGAUGCAGCAAUACCUGUUAUGUAAUACAUAACAAGAGCAAUAUGUCCACUCUAGUGUGUUUCCUUCACUUUCCAUCAUGCCUAAAGC
rnacentral:lncRNA from 11 species